CCUCCGUUUUUCCGCCGUUCUUACUAUUGUUCAAUUGUCGGAAUCCUUAACCAGCCAAGUCGCGUGAGGGAAUAAGGCCCUACGGGUCGUAAACCUCUUUUGCCGGGGAGCAAGGGCCGGGACGCGUCCCGGCCCGGAGAGUACCCGGAGAAAAAGCAUCGGCUAACUCCGUGCCAGCAGCCGCGGUAAUACGGAGGAUGCGAGCGUUAUCCGGAUUUAUUGGGUUUAAAGGGUGCGUAGGCGGGCUUUUAAGUCAGCGGUAAAAAUUCGGGGCUCAACCCCGUCCGGCCGUUGAAACUGGGGGCCUUGAGUGGGCGAGAAGAAGGCGGAAUGCGUGGUGUAGCGGUGAAAUGCAUAGAUAUCACGCAGAACCCCGAUUGCGAAGGCAGCCUUCCGGCGCCCUACUGACGCUGAGGCACGAAAGUGCGGGGAUCGAACAGGAUUAGAUACCCUUGUAGUC
rnacentral:rRNA from 1 species